rnacentral:rRNA from 1 species
AUUGAACGCUGGCGGCAUGCCUUACACAUGCAAGUCGAACGGUAACGCGGGGCAACCUGGCGACGAGUGGCGAACGGGUGAGUAAUGCAUCGGAACGUGCCCAGUAGUGGGGGAUAACUGCUCGAAAGAGCAGCUAAUACCGCAUACGACCUGAGGGUGAAAGCGGGGGAUCGCAAGACCUCGCGCUAUUGGAGCGGCCGAUGUCGGAUUAGGUAGUUGGUGGGGUAAAGGCCCACCAAGCCAACGAUCUGUAGCUGGUCUGAGAGGACGACCAGCCACACUGGGACUGAGACACGGCCCAGACUCCUACGGGAGGCAGCAGUGGGGAAUUUUGGACAAUGGACGCAAGUCUGAUCCAGCCAUGCCGCGUGCGGGAAGAAGGCCUUCGGGUUGUAAACCGCUUUUGUCAGGGAAGAAACGCUCUGGGUUAAUACCUCGGGGUAAUGACGGUACCUGAAGAAUAAGCACCGGCUAACUACGUGCCAGCAGCCGCUGUAAAAC